UGAGGAAUAUUGGUCAAUGGGCGCAAGCCUGAACCAGCCAAGUAGCGUGAGGGAAGACUGCCCUACGGGUUGUAAACCUCUUUUGUUUGGGAAUAAAGUGCGGGACGUGUCCCGCAUUGCAUGUACCAUUUGAAUAAGGACCGGCUAAUUCCGUGCCAGCAGCCGCGGUAAUACGGAAGGUCCGGGCGUUAUCCGGAUUUAUUGGGUUUAAAGGGAGCGCAGGCCGUGGGUUAAGCGUGUCGUGAAAUUCCGUCGCUCAACGGCGGACGUGCGGCGCGAACUGGUCCACUUGAGUACGCGGGACGUUGGCGGAAUUCGUGGUGUAGCGGUGAAAUGCUUAGAUAUCACGAAGAACUCCGAUUGCGAAGGCAGCUGACGGUAGCGCAACUGACGCUGAGGCUCGAAAGUGCGGGUAUCGAACAGG
rnacentral:rRNA from 1 species